AAAUGCCCUGCUUCCAGGAAAAGCCUCUAAGCAUCAGGUAACAUCAAAUCGUACCCCAAACCGACACAGGUGGUCAGGUAGAGAAUACCAAGGCGCUUGAGAGAACUCGGGUGAAGGAACUAGGCAAAAUGGUGCCGUAACUUCGGGAGAAGGCACGCUGAUGGUAGGUGAAGUGACUUGCUCAUGGAGCUGAAAUCAGUCGAAGAUACCAGCUGGCUGCAACUGUUUAUUAAAAACACAGCACUGUGCAAACACGAAAGUGGACGUAUACGGUGUGACGCCUGCCCGGUGCCGGAAGGUUAAUUGAUGGGGUUAUCCGUAAGGAGAAGCUCUUGAUCGAAGCCCCGGUAAACGGCGGCCGUAACUAUAACGGUCCUAAGGUAGCGAAAUUCCUUGUCGGGUAAGUUCCGACCUGCACGAAUGGCGUAAUGAUGGCCAGGCUGUCUCCACCCGAGACUCAGUGAAAUUGAACUCGCUGUGAAGAUGCAGUGUACCCGCGGCAAGACGGAAAGACCCCGUGAACCUUUACUAUAGCUUGACACUGAACACUGGUCCUUGAUGUGUAGGAUAGGUGGGAGGCUUUGAAGUGUGGACGCCAGUCUGCAUGGAGCCAUCCUUGAAAUACCACCCUUUAAUGGCUGGUGUUCUAACGUGGGCCCGUAAUCCGGGUUGCGGACAGUGUCUGGUGGGUAGUUUGACUGGGGCGGUCUCCUCCUAAAGAGUAACGGAGGAGCACGAAGGUCAGCUAAUCCUGGUCGGACAUCAGGAGGUUAGUGCAAUGGCAUAAGCUGGCUUGACUGCGAGCGUGACGGCGCGAGCAGGUGCGAAAGCAGGUCAUAGUGAUCCGGUGGUUCUGAAUGGAAGGGCCAUCGCUCAACGGAUAAAAGGUACUCCGGGGAUAACAGGCUGAUACCGCCCAAGAGUUCAUAUCGACGGCGGUGUUUGGCACCUCGAUGUCGGCUCAUCACAUCCUGGGGCUGAAGUAGGUCCCAAGGGUAUGGCUGUUCGCCAUUUAAAGUGGUACGCGAGCUGGGUUUAGAACGUCGUGAGACAGUUCGGUCCCUAUCUGCCGUGGGCGCUGGAGAAUUGAGGGGGGCUGCUCCUAGUACGAGAGGACCGGAGUGGACGCAUCACUGGUGUUCGGGUUGUCAUGCCAAUGGCAUUGCCCGGUAGCUAAAUGCGGAAGAGAUAAGUGCUGAAAGCAUCUAAGCACGAAACUUGCCCCG
rnacentral:rRNA from 1 species